rnacentral:rRNA from 1 species
UGGCUCAGGAUGAACGCUGGCGGCGUGCUUAACACAUGCAAGUCGAACGGGGCGAUUUGAAAGCUUGCUUUUGAUGAGCCUAGUGGCAAACGGGUGAGUAACGCGUAGGCAACCUGCCCUCAGGAUGGGGACAACGGCCCGAAAGGACCGCUAAUACCGAAUGACGUAUCGGGAUCGCAUGAUACUGAUACCAAAGGCGGAGCAAUCCGUCACCUGAGGAUGGGCCUGCGUCUGAUUAGGUAGUUGGUGAGGUAACGGCCCACCAAGCCGACGAUCAGUAGCCGGUCUGAGAGGAUGAACGGCCCCAUUUGGAACUGAGACACGGCCCAAACUCCUACGGGAGGCAGCAGUGGGGAAUA